GAUGAACGCUAGCGGCAGGCCUAACACAUGCAAGUCGAGGGGUAGAGUUAGCUUGCUAACUUGAGACCGGCGCACGGGUGCGUAACGCGUAUGCAAUCUACCUUAUACUGAGGGAUAGCCCGGAGAAAUCCGGAUUAAUACCUUAUAGUAUAUUAAAGUGGCAUCAUUUUGAUAUUAAAGAUUUAUUGGUAUAAGAUGAG
rnacentral:rRNA from 1 species